rnacentral:ncRNA from 2 species
CGGCCACGCUAGGGGUCCUGAAGAGUUAAACGUCUUCGGGUGAGAAAAAACCCUCCGUACCUGACCUGGAUAAUGCCAGCGUAGGGAAGCGCAAAGUCCACGCA